CUGCUCACUUCUGCAGCAUGCAUACUAAAAUUGGAACUAUACAGAGAAGAUUAGCAUGGCCUCUGCACAAGGAUGACAUGCAAAUUUGUGGAGCAUUCCAUUUUUUU